rnacentral:rRNA from 1 species
GACGGAGGAUGCAAGUGUUAUCCGGAAUCCCUGGGCGUAAAGCGUCUGUAGGUGGUUUAAAAAGUCUACUGUUAAAAAUUGAAGCUUAACUUCAAAGAUGCCGUAGAAACUUUUAAACUUGAGGAUGGUAGGGGUAGAGGGAAUUUCCAGUGGAGCGGUGAAAUGCGUAGAUCUUGGAAAGACCACCAAUGGCGAAGGCACUCUACUGGGCCAUGACUGACACUAAGAGACGAAAGCUAGGGGAGCAAAUGGG